ensembl:lncRNA
CAGGAGCCCAGCAGACCCGAGCAAAUCAGCGAGGCUGCUCCUCCGCGGGGAUGGCGCGGGGGGAGGAGGGGAGGGAGGAAGAGGAGUGUGUGUAUAUGUGUGUGUGUGCGCGUUUGUGUGUGUGAGCUUGUGUGUGCGCGCGCGCGCGCGCACGUGAGGAAAGAGGGAGGGAAAGAGAGAAAGAGAAUGAAGAAGACAGGGAGAGCGCAGAGAGGAAAACUGCAGAAAACCACAGGGAAAGUACGGUACAGCUUCAGAUUUUUUAUUUUUUUCUCUAAAACUUCUAGUUCAUUUCCCCAUCACUCCCGGCUCCUCCCUAACGGGGUCGUGUCGGGGACGUUUGGCAUGGCGCUCCUGCUUUUGUUCCUUUUAAUUCCGCGGCCCCCUACUCCUCUACCAGCCGACUGUCGCGCCCCGAAGGCUUUCUGCUAACACUCAGAGGCAGCAGGAUCUGGAGACCGUACCAACGCCCGGCCAGAGUUUUGUUUUUGUUUUUAAGUGGUACUUUCUUCCCUGUGCAGAGCCAGGACCCUUGUUGUCAACAUUCAUUUUUUUUUACUAGGACAAGAAGAAACCAGCUUAACUCAAAGAGCACUCCCUCCAAGCUGUGCGGACGAGGGCCACCACGGAGAGUCUUUGGGGGCCGCAGAGGAAUCUGGAGGGAGGAAGUGGGGAGAGAGUCUUUUGGGAACUUGAUGUUGUCUGAUGUUGCCAAUGGGUGUGUGUGUGUGUGUUGUGGGUGUGUGUAUGCGUACACGCGCGCGCGACUGGUGUGCGACUCCGAAGUGGAUCUCACUUAGAGCUGGGAAGCAUGGGAGCGAGCGGGAGAGAGAGGGGGAGAGAGAAAGAGAAAAAAGAUGCCUAGCGUGGAGGAUUGGCCCGCACUCCCGGACCAGCUUUGUUGCGGUCGCCCGGGGCGCGGAGGCCAGGGCGAGGUACCGCUGGCUAAUGGCUGUGUUAAUUACAUCGCGCAAUUUAGGGCGAUCUGGAAGAUGGGGCCAAUUCCGAAUGAACUUUUCCGAAAAUGAAAAGAAUCUGUAUGUGUGGGGGGAAGGUAGCUAUCCCACACGGUUUGCGUAGAAAGUAGUUCUAGCUGGUGUCUCUCCGAAUCCCUGGCUGGAGCUGCUCCCAGCCUCACCUCCGCGCCGCGGGUAUCCCGGCGGCUGCGUGUCAAUCACUGGGAGCCCCGAGCUGGGGGCGGAGCUACGGUCUCCCCGCGCGCUUCGCUCUACAUCCUCCGCCGUCCCCUGGCUCCAGGCAGCCCAGCAGCCAGGCCCGGCGCUCGGAGCGCGCCCUCUCUCCCCAACUCCUCGCUCUCGCCGUGGUUCAUGAUCUUAGAGAAUUGAAAACAGACUGUCCUCAACAGCUGCCUCCUUCUCCAACUUUGAACCCAUUCUGGAGAAUAGAAAAAGAACUGCAAGAUUAAAAGCAUCCUUCGUAUUUGUUGCUGAGUUGCUCAUGGACAUAUAAGGAAAGGAUUCCCUCCAAGACUGAUAGGAAAGACAGGGCCACUUCUGGACUAUCUGUGAGGAUGUGUUUCUAUAAUACUGAAGCACUUUUUAUAAACCUUUUGGUGUAUUUAAAUAAAUCUAUUUGGACAUUAAGAGAAGCCAUAUAUACAAGGAUAGCUUUGCUUUAUUCCAGUAAUCCCGAUAGUAGAAAAAAAUUUCACAAUCUGAGAAGCCUUGGCCAAAAAAAAAAAAAAGUUUUCUGCGUGCAUCUGCAUGUCUUCGUGCGCACGUUUAUAAACAUCUCCCAGUCCGUGUUUGCGUGUUACCUCCCUCCUGCCAUACACUCGAAGGCAGAGGCGUCGAGGGAUCGCCCCCAGAGAGCUGUGUUUACUUAGGUUUUUUUUAAUCUCGCCGCCAUGUAUGACAAGUGUUACUUCAAGAAAUUCAUCAGCCUUCCAUAGAUACUUCCAGUUUUGCUGUAAUGAUCUGCAGAAGAGAACUGCCAUCACUUUCUCACAUCCCAAGGUGUUGCAGGAACUCACCGGAAGGGGAGAGUGGCUGAAACGCUUAAUUACAGUGGGGGAGGGAGGGGCGCGAGGCGGGACCUCGGAAGGGAGAGUGGGGAAGGUCUUUACCUGGCCUGGACUUGAAGAAAGCUGUGAAUCCUCGCGUUGAAAAUUUGAGAAAGGUAGGAUUGCUUUUUUUCUUUUUUUUUGUAAUGCCUUUGGGGAGAAGUGAUACCCUUGUGUAACAAUUAGCUCAGACAAUAAAAAUAAUUGGAAAAUCAGUUGGAAUUUCUGAGUUUUUAAUUACGUUUAAUUUUGUGCUAAGCCGUAAAAUUACGAAUGCCCCUCAAUUAAACACUCUCCUCUUGUAAAGCGUUUAACAACAAUUAUUCCUUAAUCAGUCUGAAUGUGAGUCACAAAUGAUGCUUUUCCACAUCAAAGGGACGUCCUUCGACGUUACCUUUUAGUCAUAAGUAAGAGGAUUAAUUCCUAUAAUUAGAGGGAUAAAUAUGUGCAUAAAUACAUCUCUCACUCUCCUUAAAAAAAAAAAAAAAAAAAGCCACUUUCACUCUGUGUGAGACGUGGCCGGCUGUGGUAGGGCAAGGAUUUUAAUUGUCCGCUUCUGCCAGACACCACUUUCCUGUCGGGCGAAUCGAACCGUGGAGACGCGGGCGCAGAGCGCAGACCCCCCAGAGGGGUACACACGCGCACACACGUAUACACAGAAACGCACACACGAGUCAGGCAGGAGGUCCAGUGCUCGGGAUCCCAAGGCCCCCGGCCAAUUCCAGUGCGAUCUUCCCAAGAAAAUAACACACCCCCGCAACCUUGGCCCUGCCCCGCGCUGCGAGAGAGUUCUCUUCCUGCUGUCCACUUGGCCUGGAUGGAGAGCGGGGUCCCUGCCCUAAAGUAAAGGUCCAGGUUGACUCUUCA